CCUACGGGCGGCUGCAGUGGGGAAUAUUGCACAAUGGGCGCAAGCCUGAUGCAGCCAUGCCGCGUGUGUGAAGAAGGCCUUCGGGUUGUAAAGCACUUUCAGCGGGGAGGAAGGCGUUAAGGUUAAUAACCUUGGCGAUUGACGUUACCCGCAGAAGAAGCACCGGCUAACUCCGUGCCAGCAGCCGCGGUAAUACGGAGGGUGCAAGCGUUAAUCGGAAUUACUGGGCGUAAAGCGCACGCAGGCGGUCUGUCAAGUCGGAUGUGAAAUCCCCGGGCUCAACCUGGGAACUGCACUCGAAACUGGCAGGCUAGAGUCUUGUAGAGGGGGGUAGAAUUCCAGGUGUAGCGGUGAAAUGCGUAGAGAUCUGGAGGAAUACCGGUGGCGAAGGCGGCCCCCUGGACAAAGACUGACGCUCAGGUGCGAAAGCGUGGGGAGCAAACAGGAUUAGAUACCCCAGUAGUC
rnacentral:rRNA from 1 species